CCAUUUGAUUACAUAACCGUGGUUCAUCCUUCUAGCUUUCGCAACACAUUUCCACAGGUUCAAGCUGUUUGGCUUUUUGAAGUUCUUUUUUAAGUUUUUCUACCUUAGCUACUUCAGCCCUACAGAUGUGAAGCAUAAGAAGUCAUUAUUUACAGAUCAAGCACAACAAAAUCUACUUUUAGAAUCAACAAACUUUGGAUGCACAUGCAUUAACAUCAUUUCUUGUGUGUUUACCUGCAGUAUAUCGUCCAGUUCUUUUCUUAUUUAUUUAACCUUAUACAACUUAGUCCUACACUCCUGAAACAUGAUAAACA
rnacentral:lncRNA from 1 species